AUGACCAGAGUUCCGCGAGGAUAUAUAGCCCGGAGAUGAUGAACAAAAAUGAUUUCAUUUGCCUCAAACAUUAGAGGGGAUCAUUUAAGACUUAAUCGAAUGAUUACCCAACAGGUAAAAAGAGCUUUUGUUUCCUCUCAUUGA
rnacentral:rRNA from 1 species